AACUACCUCUGGCUCCUCACCUGAAAAGCAGGAGUCCACCUCAUAGGAUUGUUACACAGGUUCAAUGAGUUGAUCUUUGUCAAGUGCUUAGGACAGUGCCAAGCACAUGGAGCUCUUCCACAGACAGAUACAAAACCCAAGUGAAAUGCUUGCUCAUGAUCUGGUACUCUACUUGCUUGAAAACCGGGGCCCUUUGUUUUUAGAUUCCCUUGCUGAUCUUUUGACAAUUUCAAGACUGUCUCCACCAAAGGAUAACAAGCAUGUAAAAAGACAUUAAACCCAAGCUCUAGUUUUAAUACUAAAAAAGAUGUUUAGUGAUGAAUCACAUCAGAAGCAAAUGAUUAAAAUGAGAUUUGCUUUAGUAUCCCAAUUAUCCAUGUUCUUCCUAAACCUUUACUUUCAGGUUUUCUUAAAGGCUUCCAUAAAGGAAAAAACUUAAUAAAACUUGUCCCCCAGUAGAGUCAACUCUUGACAACCAAAUUAUCCACAGAUGAGCCUCCAGACCCUUUUGUGAGAAAGUAUGUGGCACCUGCAUAGCCAGGGGGUGGGAGAGUCUGAGGCAGCAGGUGGGAAGGGGCACUGGCAUUGCCUGACUGAAGUGGAACUGCUCCUGCUUCCAUGGCUGCGAGCUGUUAAUUGGAUGGCAUGGCAGGCUCCCUGCCAAACCCACUGUGAAUCUGUCCCAGAGCUUUCUUCCAGUUUCUCUGAUUUUUAGGUAAUUAUACACAACACACAGCUACAGAUUAAUGUAUCUUCUGAGCAACAUAAGGCAUUUCUCCUCCGAACUCUUACUGGGAAGCUUCUAACAACAACAUUAACAAAAGCAACAAAGAGGCCCACAGCUUAUAAUGUGCCAGGCACUGCUCUACGCCCUUUACACAUAUUACCUCAUAAAAUCCUUAACAGCAGCUCUAUGAGAAAGGUACUAUUAUUAUUCUUACUUUAUAGAAGAGGAAACGGGAUCAAAGAGGUGAGUGACCAAGGUCACUGAAGUGAUCAGUGAAUGAGAUUCGAACCAGUCUGCCUCCAGAGCUCAUGGUCUUAACCAUAUUAACUAUAUCUUUUCUUUUAAUUUUCAGUGAUAUUUUAGCAGAGAAAAAUUCUUCAAUUGAUUAAAAAAUGCUAACAAGUAGAUCUAAAUAGCCUGUAAUACUUUUCAAAUUAGACUUGAAACUUUAAUUUUAUAUGAAAAGACCCUUGGGUUAAAGUCCCCAGUGGAACUCUUCGGUGUAAAAUGUGUCCUGGUUUUAUUGCAUUUUAGUUUACCUUUUGAUUUAUCUUUUGAUUUCUGAAGGCAGCAGGUUUGGCAGAUUCCUAAAUGGUCUGAAAUGAGGGACCUAAUAACUACUAACCAUGUUUUCCAUUGACUUGUACUGGUCAAGAAGUUUUUCAAGGAUUUUUUUCUUAUUAUUAAGUCACAGGUUCUUGGGAGUUCACUAGAUCUUACAAUAAAAGCAUUGAUAAAGUUAGUGGGAUCAUGAAUACAUAAAGCUUCUAAAUUAGGAAUGGCAGUUUUAGAAAGCUUGGGGUGCUAAUCAAGGUAAUGGAGAGCUUCUAUGAUGAAUGUGUCCGAUAUCCUCUCAAGAUGAGAAUUCAUUUCGUGAGCAAGUAUUCGCUUCAUAUGCACUGUUUUGUUGCAGUAUGAUCUGUAACUUUUCCUUAGGCUGAACACUCUGAAUAGGUAGAUAUUAAAGCCCAGCUAAGAGUUAUGGGAAUGUCAGACACAUAAUUCUCAGAUUACACCAUUCUUCUGUUGGGUUGGGAGAAACAUCCUUCUGACAUUGAUAGAAUCUAGUUGACAGCCUCAGGCUACCUUUGCAAAUUGGGCAGUGAUGGAUGAGACCAGAGAUUUCUUCAAGGCCUGGUGUAUGGCUGAAACUGCCACUACUGCUGCCAGCCGCUCUGCUAUCCACACUGCCUUUCCCAGAACCUCCUGGCUGGAGUCACAGGUGCCUGUCUGCAAGCUUAGCCUCACCAGCAGGUACAGGGUAGGGUUCAUCUUACUGUUACAGAUUUAAGUACCCAUUCGCCCCCAAGCUCUGACCAUCCUAAGCCUCCUGACUCUGCUGACCCUGUGCACAUGGCUAGGCCCUGGCCUAGGUCUUCUGCCUAGUUCUCAAGUUGUCUCCUGAGACUUGACCAGGUCCAACACUUGGCCUCACUCUUGCCAGCCUCCUAGCUGAUGACACUCGGUGUUCCUGCAUCAGGGCCUGGUGCGGGGCAGACCAAGGUACAUGGCAUGCAGAGGAAGCUGGAUUGUGCAGGCAGAGCACACGGGUAAUGAGUAGAUGUUGAACCCUGAACAAUCUAAUCAAGGGGCUGGUAAGAGUGGGGCGAGUGGGAGGCCCUCUGUACCCUCUAACCAGGGCACACUCCAACAUCUAAACGCUUCCGCAGUCUUUUGAAGUCUAUUCAGCCAGUAAAGCCCACAGCUCAGGUGUCAUUGCCUCCCACUCCCAGAAGGUCCUCUAACUCCUACAUGCCACGUACAAAGUCUUACUCUGCUGUAGGAUUCUGGAGCAUAGUUAGUUGUUUGCAUGAGGAGAGGGAUAACACAACAGAGAAGAAUAUGGGCUUUGGAGUCAGGUGGGAUUUUAUAUCCCUCUUCUAGUAACUUUGUGACCUUAGGCAAGUAACUACCCUGGGUCUCGGCCUGCUUAUCUUUAAGUGAGGCUUUUGAAAAACUUGCAGAGAUGAUGCUAUGUGUUCACACAGUUUCUUCUGAGGCAGACAGGAAGACCACAUGUAUCAGCCUCCUCUGCAGUUGGGUCGGUGCCAGGCCUGACUUUUGAAAAUAUCCCACAUGAUCUUUGCACAAGCAAUAAAUAAAACUUUAUUUUUAACCACUGGGUAUUUGCUACUCCAGCAGAGCACACAGCCUGUCUGUCUUUACACAAAUAGGUAAGUAAAACACUUAGCAUGGCUUGCCUUGCAUGAAGUAAGGUAAUGAGAGCUCAGACUAUCGUAGUGGCAGUGGAGCUGUAAAAAAGUGGUGGAUUUGCAAAUUAGUCUGGUGAGAGAACUAACCCGACCUAGUGAUGGGCUACAUGUAGACGGUAAGGGAAUGGGAAGCGUAAAGAACUACUCCAUAUUUUUGACUUGAGCUGCUGGAUGCCAGGAUUUUCAGAGAUGGGGAGAUGAAAGAGAAGUUGUGGGGCGGAUCAGGAGUCCUAUUUUAGACAUUAAAUCUGAGAUGUCAGUAAGACACCCAAGUGAAAAGAAGGAGUUCGGAAUUAAAUAUAAGAGUCUGGGAACAGUUUGAGCUAAAGAUGGGAAAUGAAAAGUCAUCACCUUAUAGUUGGUAUUGAAAGAUAUGGAAAUAAAGACCCACACCAAGGCCUGAGAAAUAAGGUAUUCAGAGGUCUGCAGAGGGUACAUACUAAUUCUCUUUCCUUAUGUCCUUCAAGGAAAGGACAGGAACCACUACUUCUGAAUACUGCAUCAACUUUUUUUGAUAUUUAUAUUCUAAUUCUAUAGUUAAGAAGAAGUACCUCAGACUGCAAAGAUUGAGCCCCGUGUAUUAACCCAUAAAUGCUGUUACUGGUUUUAAACCCUGUAAAUUCUAGUGUGUCUUUUUGCCAUCAUAAUUAUACCGUAAGUAUAAUUAACUGUAUAUGCCUAGAGUUCCUGGAUGAACCUCAUUUUUAUGCCUGCUUAAAAAGAGCGGGACAAAGAUAAUGAUUUUAAAAGAUGAGUUCACUUGGGUUUUCUAAUUUACAGUAAGAAAAGAACAAAAUAAUUUUCUUCCUUGUUCAUAAGAUCAAUUUGUUUUGAUAGGUUGUUAUCUUAUAAAAAUGUGCUUUGAAUGAUAAUUCCAUAGAUAAUUUCAUUCCCAGUUCAAUGAAGUAAGCAUUCACUGAACAUCUACUGUAGGCCAGAGGCUUGGCUAAGUAGCAGAGGGGAGGAAUGGGAUGACAGGCCCAGCUUCCCAGGAGCAGAACUUUUUUAAAACCGGUUUCCCUGGUCCUGUGUAGCACAAUACAGUGAACUUGUGAAAUCUUAAAUUCAGAUAGACAUCUUAAUGAUAACAGCUCUCAAUUCUCUUUUAGUAGCUGUGGUGUUCAGAGACUGGGAAACAGCAGUGCCGCUUGCUGGGAUCUUGCUUAAGGAUCUAAUACCUAUGAAAGGAAGAGAAACUUAGAAAAAUGUCACUAGCUUAGAAAUGAAGACCUUAACAGAGUACCUGCCCGGCCAGUAUUGUUUCACCUUGACCACCUCGGCUGUGAAUGGAAGGGAGGUGUCUCAGAAGACGUCCUGUAGCCAGUCUCCAUGUGCCUGGAUCUCUUGAUGUUUUCCUAAGAUGCCUUAAAUCCUUUCUACAACAAGGAACAGAGCAGAUCAACCAGCCCAUCAGUCAACCAACCAAGCAGGGGAUUCUCUGAAGCUCUGCACUCCCCUGGGGCAAAGACUGCUCUCUGUCAUCUUGCCUCAAAAAUCACAUCAAGUGAAAAUCACAGAGGUGGAGGAAACAACAAGAUACUGUGGACGUUGUCAAUACGGACUAAAAGAACGUACCUCCUGUGCACGCAGCUGGAUCUCUGCCCGUGUUGUGGAGCUGGGAGAGGACACCCCCCGACCCAGGGAGUAGCGAGUGACAAAGUCACCCACUGACUGUCCCAGAGGAUUCUACCAGCCUGCCCCACCCAUCCUCCACUUCCUACAUGUGGCUGCCAGGGCCACAUCUGCAUCCCACCUGGGUAGCGGGAACAAAACCAUUAACCAGUGGCCAAGGAAGCACAGAGGUGACGCCCAGGUUUAAAACAUGGACUCAAAAGAGAUCAUUCAUCUCAAUGGUUACCAAGCAGUCUGCCUCACGGUGUGUCCAACGCACUUAUCCCACACUGGAGAUCCGAAAGACAGACAGUGGCUGACGUGCAAGUGACAGUGGCUUUAAGAAGAAAGGCCAGUGAUUUUUUUAAAAAAUGGAUAUGAGAUGGAACCGGUGAAUGUUAAAGAAGGAAAGCCGUAGCAUCUUAGAGAAUCUCACUAAGGUUGUGAGAAUCUCCUCAACGGGCUGAAAACUACCAGCAACACACAGCUUAGGAAUAACACUUUUUUAACAGUGAGUGAUCAAAUUUAGCGUGUGGCAGUUUGUCAAUAAAGCUGCACGUUCAAGUUGUAACAAAUCGGUGUCAAACUAUGUGAUGGGCAUGGAUGGUAGAAAAAUCUGAUGAUGAAUAUCAAAACAGCUGUGAAAAAAGAAAUGGAGAGGAGAGAGGGGAAGGUUAACUCACAGAGAAGGGAAGCUGCCCUUGCCCUGAGUCUGCGUUUACAUCUUCCCCAGAAGGAGCAGAAGGCCCACGCGUGCCCGGCCCUGUAGACCCUGCCUCCCCGGGCCUCUGUGCAGGCCUCUGGUCCAGAUCCCACUGACAGCGAUGAGCCAUCAGGUGAUCAGCCACUGCGUGUCUCCCAGGAGAGGAAGCCUUCAGCACAUGCUCAUUCGGCUAUUCUACCAACAAUCGCCGAUGCCAACAGGAGUGUCAGACGCUGGGUCAGAGAUGGCAAGGAUAUUCUCUGCCCUCCAGUCUGGCCCUGUGGCUGCAGUGACAGACAUGAGGACAGAGGGCUGAGGGGGUAGGAGCAAGGGUCCUCAACCCUGAGGAGUUGGGAGAGACAUGAGCGCAGCUAAGCGUGGGCUCCACGGAGUGUGGAGGGAGUCGGGGGAAGACGGCAGCAGGAGACCAGUCUGCAGAGGGGGGCAGAGGCCAGAUCAAAGGCAGGUGGAGUGGGGCCUUGAACUCAGACAGGCCCAGCUCAUCUCCUGACCGGCUGUCAGGUCUUAGGACCAGCUGGAAACCCUCAGACCAAGCUCCAGGGAACACACAGGAGUCACAACUACAUACACCUUCUCGGUGGACAAGCCACAGGCUGUGUGUAUAAUCAAAGGGGCCAGAGGACGAGGCCAAUCCAAGGAGGGAAGAGCCUAGGCCGGGCCUAAGGCCAGAAUGAUGCCAGCGCCCCAACACCCAGGAAGCCAAGCCAGCAUGCAACCCCAUGCCCAGGAAGCCAGGGCUUUUGUAAAAGGUCUGGUGGGAAGGAAGCUUCAACUAAGUCAACUAAUGCAAACUUAACGGGAUAGCCCACUAUGCACGAGGCCCCGUGCUGGGCAGGACAAUACUAAGGGGAGCUAUGGCCUGAGAAGGUAGCGCUCCUGGAAGCCAGCUUACCACCAGCCAGCCUGCCCUAGGCCAUACAGAGUACAAGGAAGCCAAGGACUCUGCCCUCACACUGCUGUCAGACAGACAGACGCCCACUCGUUACAGAGAAUAAUGCGGGCCAAGUCUGUCCUGGCUGCUUGACCUUGCUGCGGGGCGGCCUCAGACAGCCCCUGGGACAGAGCCUGGAGUCCUCUACUGGCUGGGAAAGGGAAGGGAAGUGAGUUUCAGACAGAGGACAGCUCAAGCAACCAAGGAAAGCACAUGUACUUAGUGACCUUACACCUGCUAACAAGCUGAAGACACCAGCAGCUCGUUUUAGAGCACUGAUGUCUCCCCUCAGCGCUGCUUCCUGGCAUUCCACGGACAGCUCACCCUCAACAUGGCCAAAAUGGAAUUCCUCGUCUGCCGCAAGACCACUCCAGCUUUAUCUCAUCCGGUGGCACCACCAUUCACCUGGUGAUCCAGAAAACUGGUAGUCCGCAUCGGUUCUGGCCAAUCCCGAACUCCUAUGAUUACCACAGUCCUCCUGUUACUUCCCAAAUAUCUCUCAAGUCUGUCUCCCUAUCUGUACCAUUGCUGUCUCAGUUCAGGUCUCUACUAUCUUCCAUGUGCCAGCCUCCUCCCUGCCUCUGACCUCACGUGCUCCAGAAGACCUUACCUGGCCGCCCUCCUGUGCCUCCUCCACCCUCUCUAUCAAGUACCCUGCUUUGCUUUCUUCAUAGUACUUUACUUAUACUGUCCAAAAUCAUCUUGUUUACACAUUUGCUUCCUGUUCUGUGUCCCUCUCUCCAUUAUGACAUAAGCUCCCUGAGGUCAGGAACCUUAUCUAUCUUGUUUACCAUUCUAUUUCCAUCACCUAGACUAACACCUGUGUGGAGCAGGUACUCGAGAAACAUUUGUUCACAGAAUGAACGCUCUAGAUCAUCAUUGCCUGACGGAAAUAUAAUGCAAGCCACAAAUGUGAACCGCAUGUGUAGUUUUAAAUUUUCUAGUAACCACAUUAGAAAAGUAAAAAGACAGAGGUGAAAUUAAUUUUAAUAAUAUAUUUUAUUUAACAUUAUAUGUCCAAAAGAUGAUCAUUUCAAUGGUCAUCAAUGUCAAAGGUGUUAAUGGGAAACUUUACAUUCUUUUUUUUUUUUUAAAACUAAGGCUUUGCAAUUUUGUGUGUAUUUUACAGUAUAACUCAUUUCAGGCUAGUCACAUUUCAAGUGCUUAAUAGCUACCUGUGGCCAGUGGCGUCUGUAUUGGGCUUCACAGUUCUAUAUGUAUUCCUCCUAUCUUAUCAAGCUGGCUUCGGUUAUGCUCUCUGCUACUUUAGGAAUGGGUGUGACAAUUAAAUCACUAACAAGAGGACUCAAACAUCCUCAGAGAGUCUACCAUAUUUCCAGCAUUGUUCUAAGAAGUGGUCACACAAAGAUGAAUCACAAACACAUUUCGCCCCAAAAGACCACAGUCUAGUGUGGGAAAAACACAUGUAAACAAUUAGCAUGCAAGGUGAUAAAAGAUUUAUGUACAAAUUGCUGUAGGAAUCACCAAUCUUGUCUGAAGGAGUCAAGAAAAGCUUCAGAGAGGAGUUGAGGCUUUAGACCAGCCUUGCAGAACAAGUAGAAGCUGGAUAAGCAGGCAAGGACUAAUGGGAUUUUCCAGAAAAUGGAAAUAACACAUGUGAAAGCCAGAAAUGUAAGAGAGAGCAUGUCAGUCAAUGAACUUCAAGCUGUUUGCUCUGGUUGGAAACACUCGUGCAUGAGGGGGGCUGGCGGGAAGUGGCAAUGGAGAGGUGAUCGGGGAUUCAGUCUCAGAAAACCUUAAGGGCAGGGAGCAUUUAAGAUUUAUGAGUAGGAGGAGAGGCUGACUUAAUCAGAGUCACUUUUUUGGAGCGGGGGCGGGGGGGGGGGCCUGCCACGAGGCUUGUGGGAUCUUUGUUCCCUGACCAGGGAUUGAACCCUGGGCUGCAGCAGUGAAAGCACGGAGUCCGAACCACUGGCCUGCAGGGGAAUUUCCCAGAGUAGCAUCUUCAAAGAUCUGCCUGGCAGCUGUUGCGGACCAUGGUUUAGAAAGAGGAGAGGUAGGAGGCAGGAAGUCCAGGUGGGAGGCUUAUCCUAGCAAGAGAUGCUGAGGACCUGAACCAAAGUGAUGGCAAUGAGAGGGAAGAGGAGGGGGCAGAUAUGAAAGAUCUGGAUAGGACUUGUAAGAGGAGAGAGCCUGGAGAAGGGGGCUUGAGGAUGAGUUUGGUUUUGGAUACGUUGGGUUUCCAGUACCCAUGGGGCUCCCAGGAGGAGCCGUCCCAUAGGCAGUUGGGGAUACGGGUCUUUGGCACCCAGAGAAGCGCAGGCUGCAGAUACAGAUUCGAGGGUCACCAGCCUAGAGGUGUGGCUUAAAAAUCAAGGAAAUGAAUUCAAUGUCCAGGAAGAGGGUCGAGUCGAAGAGAACGGUAACAGGGGCCACCUGAGAGGGGCUGGUGAGCAUUUCCAUCAGCAGAGCAGCCCAAGGGCAUCUGAACUCAACGGCAGAAGCAUCCAACAUCCCACACCUGUGAGCUGCUCCCUAGGAGUCUGCCAGGGACCCAAGGGCCAUGGCAAAGCUUUGGGGUACUUUGGUAUGCAUGUUGGAGAUUAUAUUAUUUUGUUGACAACAAUUUGUCUUAAUGCUGAAAAUAUGAGUGGUCAGAAUGCUUGUAGUGGUGAAGAAACCCUCCGCAGGUUUCUGGGGAGGGCACAAACCCAGUGAAUAUAAUCUCAUUCUCCAGCACUGCAGUACUCUGUAAAUUAUAAAGGAAUUCCAUCAACAUUAUCCUAUAAUCUUCACAGCAGUUCUCUGAAGAGUAUGGAGCCAUUUAUGGAUGAAGACACUGGGGCUCAAAGAGGACCAUCCAUCUUGCAAGCCGUGAAGGCUAAUAUUAUAGCUGUGAAAUUUGACUCCAAGCUUCCUGGAAGCAAAAAUAGACACACAGAGGUCUGUACUCUGCCCAUUCCCUGAUGAGAAAGACAGUUUUGGGUGUAUUGGUUCAAAAGAAUUGAGGAAUCUGGAAUUACACGGAAGGGCCCCUGACCGUGUCUGCUUCUGCCAUGGAGGGGAAGUGAAAGCAAAACAUCAGAGAACCUGGUCACAUAGGAAGUAGGAACUAAGGAAGAAUACUGCUGGGCAGGAACUGAGGGAGCACAGUGAGGCUGUUCUGGAAGAGUGUAGAAGUCAGCCCUGUGUUCACUCGUUAGUACCCAGCCCCAGUGGCGUCUUCCCCUUUCACAUGCUUCAGUUUUCCACUAUUUUUCUUCCUUCCUUUUUUCUUUCUUUUUUUUCCUUAUUGAAGUAUAGUUGA